AUUGAACGCUGGCGGCAUGCCUUACACAUGCAAGUCGAACGGCAGCACGGGUGCUUGCACCUGGUGGCGAGUGGCGAACGGGUGAGUAAUACAUCGGAACAUGUCCUGUAGUGGGGGAUAGCCCGGCGAAAGCCGGAUUAAUACCGCAUACGAUCUACGGAUGAAAGCGGGGGACCUUCGGGCCUCGCGCUAUAGGGUUGGCCGAUGGCUGAUUAGUUAGUUGGUGGGGUAAAGGCCUACCAAGGCGACGAUCAGUAGCUGGUCUGAGAGGACGACCAGCCACACUGGGACUGAGACACGGCCCAGACUCCUACGGGAGGCAGCAGUGGGGAAUUUUGGACAAUGGGCGAAAGCCUGAUCCAGCAAUGCCGCGUGUGUGAAGAAGGCCUUCGGGUUGUAAAGCACUUUUGUCCGGAAAGAAAUCCUUGGCCCUAAUACGGUCGGGGGAUGACGGUACCGGAAGAAUAAGCACCGGCUAACUACGUG
rnacentral:rRNA from 1 species